UUCCAGCCAAUCAGCAGCAGACCCUCCCUCCCAGACCCUCCCACCUCCUGGACAGCUCACUAAGAAUGCAGCUUCACAAUGAAUGUAAAAUGGAUGCUGUCCAGGAGGUGGGAGGGCCUGGGAGGGAGGGUCUGCUGCUGAUUGUGAGG